UAGCAAUGGCAAGGUCUUCCCAG
rnacentral:piRNA from 1 species